UACGUAGGGGGCGAGCGUUGUCCGGAUUUAUUGGGCGUAAAGAGCGUGUAGGCGGUCCGGUAAGUCCGCUGUGAAAGUCGGGGGCUCAACCCUCGAAUGCCGGUGGAUACUGUCGGGCUAGAGUGCGGAAGAGGCGAGUGGAAUUCCUGGUGUAGCGGUGAAAUGCGUAGAUAUCGGGAGGAACACCAGUGGCGAAGGCGACUACCUGGCCCAUUCUUGACGCUGAGGCGCGAAAGCUAGGGGAGCGAACGGG
rnacentral:rRNA from 1 species